rnacentral:rRNA from 1 species
GACGAACGCUGGCGGCGUGCUUAACACAUGCAAGUCGAACGGACAGGCCCUGCUUUUGCGGGGUGCUCGAGUGGCGAACGGGUGAGUAACACGUGAGUAACCUGCCCUUGACUUUGGGAUAACUUCAGGAAACUGGGGCUAAUAUCGGAUAGGAGAUCCUGCUGCAUGGUGGGGGUUGGAAAGUUUCGGCGGUUGUGGAUGGACUCGCGGCUUAUCAGCUUGUUGGUGAAGUAGUGGAUUACCAAGGCUUUGACGGGUAGCCGGCCUGAGAGGGUGACCGGCGACAUUGGUACUGAGAGACGGACCAGACGCCUACGGUAGGCAGCAGUGGAGAAUAUUGCACAAUGGGCGGAAGCCUGAUGCAGCAACGCCGCGUGCGGAAUGACGGCUUACGGGUUGUAAACCACUUUCGCCUGUGACGAAGCGUGAGUGACGGUAAUGGGUAAAGAAGCACCGGCUAACUACGUG